UUUAUUGGAACAAUACAAAGAAAAUUAGCAUGGCCCCUGUGCAAGGAUGACAUACAAAUUCGUGAAGCAUUCCAUAUUAAA
rnacentral:snRNA from 1 species